GACGGGGCCGCACAAGCGGUGGAGCAUGUGGUUUAAUUCGAUGCAACGCGAAGAACCUUACCUGGGCUUGACAUCCACGGAACCUGCUGGAAACAGUGGGUGCCUUUCGGGGAGCCGUGAGACAGGUGCUGCAUGGCUGUCGUCAGCUCGUGUCGUGAGAUGUUGGGUUAAGUCCCGCAACGAGCGCAACCCUCGACCUUAGUUGCCAGCAUUCAGUUGGGCACUCUAAGGUGACUGCCGGCUAAAAGUCGGAGGAAGGUGGGGAUGACGUCAAAUCAUCAUGCCCCUUAUGACCUGGGCUACACACGUGCUACAAUGGGCGGUACAAAGGGUCGCGAACCCGCGAGGGGGAGCCAAUCCCAAAAAGCCGCUCCCAGUUCGGAUUGCAGGCUGCAACUCGCCUGCAUGAAGCCGGAAUCGCUAGUAAUCGCGGAUCAGCACGCCGCGGUGAAUACGUUCCCGGGCCUU
rnacentral:rRNA from 1 species